CAGCAGCCGCGGGAAUACGUAGGGUGCGAGCGUUAAUCGGAAUUACUGGGCGUAAAGCGUGCGCAGGCGGUUUUGUAAGACAGAGGUGAAAUCCCCGGGCUCAACCUGGGAACUGCCUUUGUGACUGCAAGGCUAGAGUACGGCAGAGGGGGAUGGAAUUCCGCGUGUAGCAGUGAAAUGCGUAGAUAUGCGGAGGAACACCGAUGGCGAAGGCAAUCCCCUGGGCCUGUACUGACGCUCAUGCACGAAAGCGUGGGGAGCAAACAGGAUUAGAUACCCCCGUAGUCCCUGUCUCUUAUAC
rnacentral:rRNA from 1 species